rnacentral:misc_RNA from 1 species
UAAUCUGAAAUGCGUGUUUCUGUCAACAAAAAUUGCAAUUUAAAUCUUGAUUGGGAAAUUAAAUUACUGCAUUCUAAUUGGUGGUUUGUAUUAGGAUAAGAGACUAAGCACUGGUUCAUUUUGGAUUUUACAUCAUCCGCAAUCUUAUCAUGAUUUAAUGCUUUUACCACUUUCUUAAUCCGUCAACGGAAAAGUAAUCAAGCCAAUCAGUGUAAAAGCAAAAAUAACGACUUAAGGAUAUCGCUUCUGCCCCAGGCAGAUUUGGAGCGUCAAGCACCUUGCAGAUGCGUUGUCCACCUUUGCCUUUCCUGAACAUCGACCUGAUUGUGGCUACAUGAGCAAGCACAUGGCCUCCUG